AUGGUCGAGGCGGUGGGCAGCGUCGCCAAGAUCGUCGGGAUGGCGCUCAAGAUCAAGGAGGCGGCCAGCACGGUCCACCAGAACAAGAAGGACUGCUACCACAUCAAGAGGCGCGCCGAGAUACUCGACAAGACGCUCUCGCACCAUGAGAACAACACGGAGCUGAUGGAGGACUCGGCGGUGACGGCCGCGCUCGACGAGAUACUCGGCGAGGCGCUCGAGGUCAUCACCGAGUGCCAGCAGGAGAGGUGCGUCUUCUGCGCUUUCUACACCGCCGGGAAGCUGUCCCGGAAGCUGGGAAAGGUGGAGCAGCGCAUAUCGUACCUCAACUCGGACGCGAUGCUCACGAUCAUGAGCUACCAGCUGCUCAGGAAGUUUCAGGCUGGUGCUCCACAACAUCCACCACCACAGAUUUACUCUUCUGGUACACACACACCAUUGCAACCACCGAGU
rnacentral:rRNA from 1 species